CUGGCCCUGGACUACCCCGCACUGCUCUCUGGGGACACCGCUACUCAGAAGUCCCUCCGAAGUCUGCGGAGCUCAGAGCGAACUUCCGGCAGCCACCGCUUGUCCUUUGUGGAUCAUGUAACCCCUCAAUCAAUGCCGGUCGAAGACUGGAAAAAGAAACCGUUUGGGCAGUUUCCUUACCACUCCCUCUGGGUGAAGAAAGCAAACAAACAAAUCACUCAGCAUACAGCAGGUGCUGAGAAAACGCUUGCCACCCCUUCUGGGGGGGAAUAUUUGCUGCUUCCUGAACUCCUGACCCUGGCCAGAACAAUCGCUCACUGUCUGGUGUGAAUCAUCUCUUCUCUGCUCCUGCUGUCCCUUCUGCACACCACUGCACUCGUCUGGUGACAAGGGCCUUCUAUUCAUAGUUUGUUAAAGCACUUGAGACAUUAGCUUGGCAGACCACUCACACGUGAAGUGGCCGUGGGACGCCAAAUGUGAGGACGCAGCCACGCACGGAACUGCAAAAGCUCUCUUCGAGGCGCUUACGCGUUCGUGAGGAAACAGGUAUGAAGCAAAUAGAUACCUCACACCUGCCAUGAGUUUUACGUGCCACGAACGAAGUCCGGCGGGGCUCAAGAAGCAGGAGUCCAUCGGACGCCGGACAAGGGCGUCGGCCAAGGAGACCGAGACUGGCUUACGGGCAGAAGUACAGCAGUUUAUGCCCAACUGGAGAAAAGGUCCUGACAAUUGAUUUGAGUGGCCAGGAAACAUAACCAACACGUCUCUGGGAGGCCUAGACCCGUGGUUCCUGCGAAGCAACAUCCAACCACCCCCGACAAAUGCACGCCGGCCACGGUGCCACCCGGUCCCUACUGUCGCCCCGACACUAGGAGGCCAAGUAUCACUGGUAGAACUUCUCCGCCAAGUUCCAGACCCGAAUAUCCAACAACGUCACUUGGCAUCUCCACUUGGUUGUCUUAUAAGGAACUGCAAACAUCAUGUCCACACUGGGCUCCUUACUCCCUCCUUCCCAAGCCUGCUGUUCCCUGCAUUAAAUCUUCUGAGAACACCAACAGUGGGAACACAGCAGGGGAACGUCAACCUUCCAGGGCACUGAUUUAUCCGAAUCUUUCUUGAGUGAAAGGCCAUGGGGAGCUGAGGGACAAGUUCGGACACCAUGUCAACACCCACACCUACAGCAAGCCCUGGACUGAGGAAGUAAAAGAAGAUUUUUCAGAAGUAAAAUGUGCAGGGUUUGGUAACAAUGUGAGGGCAGUGCGUGGGGAUGGUAAUAUGGGCAACAGCCUGACAACCUUCAUGGAGAUGGAAAAGGACAGAGGGAUGAGGGAAGGGGGAGAGAGAGGAAGGGCACACAGGAGUUCAAUUUCGGAGCAUGUUAAUUAAAUGUGUCACAUUAAUACAUGCAUUAAUAUAUCUUUCUUAGAUACACUUCAAAGCCUAAUCCACUCCUCCAAGGCAAUUGUUAAAGGUUUAAGUUACUCCUAAAUCACAUAAGCUCAAAGACUCACAAGGGCUCAAAUUCACUGGGUACAGAGGCUCCAGGUAAC